CCCCAACAGGAAUUCCAGUCAGAGGAUAUGUCACCGACAACAUGAGAUCAUUUCACCCCAGGAUUUGUAUUUAUGUAUCUUCUGCAGUAGAUAGCUGUCAGCUUUCUCCAUGACAACUGCUCCCAGAAUGGCUGCCUCAGGACCAUGUCUUCUGCUCUUGAUUCUGCAACUAAGACUACCACGGAUUAAAGAUGGACCUGGAGAACAACAGGAACAACAGAAAGCC
rnacentral:sRNA from 1 species